CGAAGCACUGAAAGCAGAUUACUUCGGUUUGAAGCUUUCUUUGACUGAGUGGCGGACGGGUGAGUAACGCGUGGGUAACCUGCCUCAUACAGGGGGAUAACAGUUAGAAAUGACUGCUAAUACCGCAUAAGCGCACGGUUUCGCAUGGAACAGUGUGAAAAACUCCGGUGGUAUGGGAUGGACCCGCGUCUGAUUAGCUGGUUGGCGGGGUAACGGCCCACCAAGGCGACGAUCAGUAGCCGGCCUGAGAGGGUGAACGGCCACAUUGGGACUGAGACACGGCCCAAACUCCUACGGGAGGCAGCAGUGGGGAAUAUUGCACAAUGGGGGAAACCCUGAUGCAGCGACGCCGCGUGAAGGAAGAAGUAUUUCGGUAUGUAAACUUCUAUCAGCAGGGAAGAAAAUGACGGUACCUGACUAAGAAGCCCCGGCUAACUACGUGCCAGCAGCCGCGGUAAUACGUAGGGGGCAAGCGUUAUCCGGAUUUACUGGGUGUAAAGGGAGCGUAGGCGGUGCAGCAAGUCAGAAGUGAAAGCCCGGGGCUCAACUCCGGGACUGCUUUUGAAACUGUUGAACUAAAUUGCAGGAAAGGUCUGUGGAAUUUCUAGUGUAGCCGUGNNNUGCGUUGUUUUUUGAAGGNNCCCCUGUGGCGNNGGCGGCUUNCUGGNCUGUNNNUGNCGCUGNGGCUCGAANGCGUGNGGGACCCUUUAGGGNNNNNNNCCNNNNNNNNCCNCACNNNAAGAGACUUUAUGGAUGUCAGGGAGCAAGGCUCUUUGGUGCCGCAGCAAACGCAGUAAGUAUUCCACCUGGGGAGUACGGUUCGCAGGAAUGAAACUCAAAGGAAUUGACGGGGGACCCGCACAAGCGGUGGAGCAUGUGGUUUAAUUCGAAGCAACGCGAAGAACCUUACCAAGUCUUGACAUCCGGAUGACCGGAACUUAACCGUUCCUUCCCUUCGGGGCAUCCGAGACAGGUGGUGCAUGGUUGUCGUCAGCUCGUGUCGUGAGAUGUUGGGUUAAGUCCCGCAACGAGCGCAACCCUUAUCUUUAGUAGCCAGCGGAGGAAGCCGGGCACUCUAGAGAGACUGCCAGGGAUAACCUGGAGGAAGGUGGGGAUGACGUCAAAUCAUCAUGCCCCUUAUGAUUUGGGCUACACACGUGCUACAAUGGCGUAAACAAAGGGAAGCGAGCAUGCGAAUGUAAGCAAAUCUCAAAAAUAACGUCUCAGUUCGGAUUGUAAUCUGCAACUCGACUACAUGAAGCUGGAAUCGCUAGUAAUC
rnacentral:rRNA from 1 species